rnacentral:lncRNA from 1 species
GUUGGUUCUCUCCUACCACCAGGUGGCUUCCAGAGAUCUGGAGAGACACAGACAGGAAAGGGUCAUCGACAAGGUCCACCCUCAGAACACACCCUCUGCACUGCAAUGUGGCCAGUCAAGCCCUACCUGCUAAUCGUCCGCUGGCUGUGACCUCAUCGGUGACUUGAUCUCUGUUACUGCCUCUGAGGACGAAGAGGUUCCCCUUCCCUUCUGCUUCCUAGAUUUCUCCAGUUUCCUUCAAGGUGUCCGUGGAGUUGUUGUGUGACAGACAGACUUUUCAGGGAAAACACAACAUUACAUCUAUUCUCUCCAGAAAGAGUGCCUGUGACAGACCAAAGCAACACCUGCACUGAAGUCCAAGUUGGUGAGUCAAUGAGUGGGUUACUAACAGGAGGAAGGGUGAGCAUUUUCUUACAAGGAGCAGAGAAGCGCAACUCUGCACAGACACCAGCUCACAAGACACCCUGAGCUCUUCAAAGCUGGGUGCAGCUGGAGGUUACAGCCCUGGAACAUUCUUCAGGGUUAGCAGGCUGACAGUUCAGGAAUCUCCUGUCUCCAGCAGACUGGGGAGAGGUGGCUGAGGAUCUUCCAAGAGUGUUUCCC